rnacentral:rRNA from 1 species
GACGAACGCUGGCGGCGUGCUUUACACAUGCAAGUCGAACGGUGAAGGUGGAGCUUGCUCCGCCGGAUCAGUGGCGAACGGGUGAGUAACACGUGGGCAACCUGCCCCUAACUUUGGGAUAACUACUCGAAAGAGUAGCUAAUACCGGAUAUGAAGUCUGUAGGCAUCUAUGGAUUUGGAAAGUUUUUCGGUUAGGGAUGGGCCCGCGGCCUAGCAGCUUGUUGGUGAGGUAGUGGCUCACCAAGGCGACGACGGGUAGCCGGCCUGAGAGGGCGACCGGCCACACUGGGACUGAGACACGGCCCAGACUCCUACGGGAGGCAGCAGUGGGGAAUAUUGCGCAUUGGGCGAAAGCCUGACGCAGCAACGCCGCGUGCGGGAUGAAGGCCUUCGGGUUGUAAACCGCUUUCAGCAGGGAAGAAGCGAAAGUGACGGUACCUGCAGAAGAAGCACCGGCUAACUACGUGCCAGCAGCCGCCGUAA